rnacentral:rRNA from 1 species
GACGAACGCUGGCGGCGUGCUUAACACAUGCAAGUCGAACGGAAAGGCCUGCUUUCCCUUGUGGAUUGCGGGUACUCGAGUGGCGAACGGGUGAGUAACACGUGAGUGAUCUGCCCCCAACUUGGGUAUAAGCCUGGGAAACUGGGUCUAAUUCCCGAUAGGACUGCAGGGUGGUGCCUGUGGUGGAAAACGAUUUUCUAGUGGUUGGGGAUGAGCUCGCGGCCUAUCAGCUUGUUGGUGGGGUAAUGGCCUACCAAGGCGGCGACGGGUAGCCGGCCUGAGAGGGUGGACGGCCACAUUGGGACUGAGAUACGGCCCAGAUUCCUACGCGAGGCAGCAGUGGGGAAUAUUGCACAAUGGGCGGAAGCCUGAUGCAGCGACGCCGCGUGGGGGAUGCCGGCCUUCGGGUUGUAAACUCCUUUCGACCGCGAGGAAGCCACCUGGUUGGAAGGGUGGUGACGGUAGUGGUAGAAGAAGCACCGGCUAACUACGUG